UACGUAGGGUGCGAGCGUUAAUCGGAUUUACUGGGCGUAAAGCGCGCGCAGGCGGCCUGGUAAGUCAGGUGUGAAAUCCCUGGGCUCAACUCAGGAAUUGCGUUUGUGACUGCAGGGCUCGAGUAGGGUAGAGGGGGGUGGAAUUCCUGGUGUAGCAGUGAAAUGCGUAGAGAUCGGGAGGAACACCGAUGGCGAAGGCAGCUCCCUGGGCCUGUACUGACGCUCAUGCACGAAAGCGUGGGGAGCAAACAGG
rnacentral:rRNA from 1 species